GAGCAGACUGUGCGGUCCCUCAGAGUUUCUGUCACCUCUAGCAUCACUGAAGAUCAAGCUUUUACUUUGGUCUUACUGCUCCGUUCCAGCUUGGAUUAACGAGACAAUUUAAAUUUCACACAUUUAUUUACAUUUGUUGGGGGGAAAUAUAAGAAUUUUUAUUUCCAAGUUCAUCCGGUUCAACCUGAGUUACAGUGUAGUUGUUGUGCAUUAUCAUGCAGAAGAUCACAUGAUUCUGAUCUGGAGAACUUCAUAUUAGAGCAUCCAGCAACAAAGCAAACAAGCACAGGGAGAAUGUAAACAAUCCUACUGUUCAGUGAGUGAAGUGACAAAAUGUAUCUAUUCACACUGACUGAAAAUGUUUGUUUUUUUUCAGUUAUUGUUCUAAGAUUUUUCGUUCGUUUUCGUGUUCUCUUUUUAGCUGAAAAAGUAUAGAAAAGUGUUUGUUUCUCAUUGUUUGAGUUGCUGUCCGUUUCCACUAGGUGGCGCUUGUGAAUUGGAAACGCUGUUUUCACCGAGUAAUGUGAUUACGUUAAUUUGUAUAUGUAGGGCAAUGUUCCCGAACGGCCAAAAGAUGCCGCUGUUGCACCAUGUCACUGUAGAUUUUAAAGGGCUCAUAUCAUGCAAAAUCCACUUUUUAGACAUUUUGGAGUGUCCCUAUGACUCUAUGGGUCACAUAUACACACACUGAGCAAGGUAGAAAUGCAUUUCCUGCUUUUUUCACAUUUUGAAAACGUAAAUUUUCUCAUCCAAUGAAAACAGCCACGACCUACUCUGAGGCCGUUCCCCAGGUUUCGUCAUACUGGUUGAAAGUUCUCCUUGCAAAUCCUGAACCACCACCCCCACAAUGAUCCCGAACCAAAACUGGACUUCCGCCAUUUCCCCCCUCUCACUCACCGUGAACAGACCAGCACUGCAGCGCCCAAGUCCUCCCAUAGAAAUAGUUCGGUUCUUAGGUGUUCUAACCAACACCAAAGUCUCUUCACUUUACUAAGGGAUCAACAAGUGAGGAUUUGUGGGUCACUCUUAUUUUUAACGGACCGGUGCCAGAAACACUGCCUCAGCAUUUAUACGUAUGUGCAUUUCAAACGAGGGUGCGUACAAUGCUGGAUUUGUUUCACGGCUCCUGUUGGAAAAAAAGGACCUAUUCCUAAAGUCCGUCAUCCACUCACUGAAGAGGGCAAAUCCCAGUUGCCCACAUGCAAGGAGGCUGUUAAACAGAGAAAUCACUGCAGACUGUUGGUACACAGACAUCUGCUGCCCAGCUCAGGAGUAAAGUACCUUUUGUUUUGAUGAGGUGAUGGUGAGGACAGCCACAGCUUCCAUCUGGUAGAGGACUGCUUCCGCUCAGUCUUCCAAAUAGUGAUGAGAACAAGGAUCACCACAUCUCCCUGUUUACCCUACUUUCAUGCAUUUCGUCUGCAAGGCCCUGCAAAAGCUUCUGACCUCAAACCCCCAGACCUCUUAAUUAACUCAGUAACCUAUACAUUGCACAUUGGAGUGUGAAGGUAACAGUUUGUUCUAGCUUUGGAGUAGUGGUGUAUUUUUUUGGUUUACAAUAAAGUUGGCUUUAACUAUUAUGUAUUUCACUAAACUCUGUUUCUGAAGGUAAAACACUUUUAUUUAGGAAAUCAUAGUAUUGAAAUUACAUGUUUUUCUCUUUCUAAUAUGGUAAGCUAUAAAGUUGAAGCGGCCAUAAAUAAAAAGCACAUAAAUUAUAUAUAAAUAAAAUAAAAAAAUUCUUAAUGAAUGUUGCACUCACAAAAAACACAUUUUUACUCAAAUGGUAAAGGAGUUAUUCCACAGGUGGUUUACAUCAAUCAUACUAUAAGUGUUUUAGUGUUUUAUCCAUCAGGAAACUGCCUUCAUCUACAACCCAAGCAUGAAGAGAUGGCAACUCAGAUUCUUCACCCCAGAAAUCCUCAGCACCAGCCCACUAGCCUCUGUAGACUACAUACCUGUAACAACUUCAGAUACAGAGACAUAUUACUGUCAGAUUUAUCAAGAAUGACAAAAAACAUAAUUAAAAGCAGUAAAAAUACGUUAGGUCAAUAUAUAAUUUGAACCAAUGCUUUUUGUUUCCAGGAAGGUCAUGCAGUGAUUGCUCUAAAUAUUAAUGCACAUUUUUUAAAUAAAAUUGUCAGAGCAGCAGCACAAGUAAGACAAAAACAGUGAAAUGUGUAAAUGUAAAAUGUAUUUAUAUUAUUUCAGCUAUGCUCUCAAACUUAUUUAUUUAAAUAAUGUAAGCUAAAGUAGUGUUAUCUAUUAACGAGAGUUUUCCAGGUAAGUCGUGUUGUGAAUAUUCAAGCUGCACACGCCAUUUAGCAUACGCAUUAGCAACCGCUAGUCGCUUUGCAAAUUACAUAAAUCAAUUAAAUUAAAGUAAAUGCGACAUUACCAAUGAGACACAUCUUGCAUCGGCCGAAAUGUGGCGACUUCAACAGCCUCCUCUUUAGCUUCAGGGUCAGAUUCGGGAUCGUAGACGUAUGGUUCUACAACGCUACGAAUCAGCUGGCUAAUGUCAUGCAGUCCUGUAGCGGGUCUUCUUCUGUGGAGGAUUGCGGUGGAUUGCAUUCUCAAUGUCGCACUACUGCCACCUAUUGUAUCGUAACCGUGCGGUGGCUCGUAUCCAUGGAGCCAAUUAAAAAAAAAAACAACAACAACAAAAAAGGUAUGCGCUUCCGCACAGAGGUGUGGUGAGCAGCUUCGCUUGCGACACGCCCAGAAAACACAGCGUUUGCUGAUGGGGAGUGAGAACCACAUAUUGACAGGGGCAGUGUGGACGAUCUAAAGGGUUUUAUGGGAUGAAAAUUUACAGAGACCUUACUGAGACAUUAAAGUCUAAUAUUUUUUAGAAUGAAAAGUAUGAUAUGACUCCUUUAAGUUUUGUUUCUCGGCCUGUCCCUCCCGGGACGCUGUAGUUUUGUUCCCAUGUGCGCGCUGGUUGCCAUAUUGGCUCAUAUUAUGCUGCGCUGCAACAUAGGUAAGCAGUGAGCAUGGCUGCUCAAAGCAUCCAUGAAUAUCAAUGCUAAUAACGCCCAUCUGGCUUAUUUGUUUAUGUGUAUUAAUAACUAAUGUGCAAUAUCAUAGUUUUGGUUAAAAUUGAGUGACAGUUGUCUGUGUUUUUGUACUUUUAUAACAUUUGGAGGAUGUGGCAUGUGUAGCCGUUUUCUGUUAAGUUAUUGAUUUGAAAUAUUAUUUUUGGUCUAACUUCUUUACUGAAAGUGCUAAUUUAAUCUGAGAGUACAAGUUUUAAAUUGAGAUUAUUAUGUUUUGGUUUUAUUUAUAUGUUAUGCUGAGUACCAAUGUCUAAUGGGAAAUUUAUGUUUGUUUAUAUUGGCUGAUAUUACGCUGCGCUGCAACACAGGCUAAAUAAACGACGGCCGAGUCUGAACCGCAUCCAGAA